AGUGAACGCUGGCGGUAGGCCUAACACAUGCAAGUCGAACGGCAGCACAGUAAGAGCUUGCUCUUACGGGUGGCGAGUGGCGGACGGGUGAGGAAUACAUCGGAAUCUACUUUUUCGUGGGGGAUAACGUAGGGAAACUUACGCUAAUACCGCAUACGACCUACGGGUGAAAGCAGGGGAUCUUCGGACCUUGCGCGAUUGAAUGAGCCGAUGUCGGAUUAGCUAGUUGGCGGGGUAAAGGCCUACCAAGGCGACGAUCCGUAGCUGGUCUGAGAGGAUGGUCAGCCACCCUGGAACUGAGACACGGUCCAGACUCCUACGGGAGGCAGCAGUGGGGAAUAUUGGACAAUGGGCGCAAGCCUGAUCCAGCCAUACCGCGUGGGUGAAGAAGGCCUUCGGGUUGUAAAGCCCUUUAGUUGGGAAAGAAAAGCAGCAGGUUAAUACCCCGCUGUUCUGACGGUACCCAAAGAAUAAGCACCGGCUAACUUCGUG
rnacentral:rRNA from 1 species